UGUGAAUGUAUCAUUUUUAUUCCUGGGACUGGUUUUAUUAUUUUUGGAACUAUUACAAGACUUCUGUUAAACAUGUUGAAUGUUAAGAGGAAACAGACUCUCAGCAAAUGUUGAAAACCAAUUACAGAAACGUCCCUGCUAGAACUAGAGAAACACAGGAGGGACCGAGAAGAAGUUUGCCCUCCCCCUUCUCCCACUGCCCAAAACACACAGAUGGUGGAAUUCCCGUGAAGAAAAAUACGAUGAUUACAUUGUGGUCCUUAUUCUUCUGUUCACAAGCAAAAAAACACUAAAAUGAUACUUCUGAGUCAAACCUAUUUAUAAUGAGUUCAACAUAGGAUUAUUUAAGGCAAAUCUGAUACAGGAAAAACUCAUAUAACUUACAGAAUGAUUCUUUACUAUACACAAAAAAAGCUUCACCACUAAUCAAGAAAUCAAAUUACAUUACAUUUAAAAACACCUAAAUUUCAAAUAUUAAUUUAUGGAACUUUCAGGAGCACAUCGCUGUAAACAGUACUGUAAAAGCAUGCUAUCAUGUACACAUUGAUUAAAGUACAUAAUUUUAUCUACAUGAAUACUGACAAGAUUGAAAUUUUUUAAAAUUCAAUUUUGAAACCCUAGAAAGCUGAUUUAGGAAAAGAAUCAACAGAAGAAAGAAACUUAUUUUCAGUUAUUAUUCAGCUAUUACUUUCCCAUGUGCUACCAUAAGUGAGGCUUUGUGCUAAGCACCAAAAAGGUACAGAUGAGUAAGACACCCUCUUUGACCUCAAGGAACUUCCAGUUUUGGAAACGCAAGGCAGUAGUUAAAAUUCAAUAUGGUAGCCAGGCAUUUGCAGUCCCAGCUACUGGGGAGGCUUAAGUGAGAGGAUCACUUGAGCCCAAGAGUUUGAGGUUGCCGUGAGCUAUGAUUGUGCCACUGCACUCCUGCAUCAGUGACAAAGCAAGACACCAUCUCUUAAAAAAUAAAAAUUAAAGACAUGUAAAAAUAAUUAAAAAAUGCAAUGUGGUAACUGCAAUAAUAGAGGCACCAUCUGAGGUGGUCAUCAAAGGCAUAUUCCUUAGGGGUUUUUGUAAAGACUUUUAAGAAGUGUGGGCAGAGUUAAGGGAAUCAACAACGGUGAGGCUCCCAGGGCCCAGCAGCAGUGGGAAGCCAGGCCCUCCCCUAGCCUGAGAGGAGAAGAUGGCACAGCCAGAGUCGGGCCAUGCACUAGAGGCAAGGAAGAGUGGCCACCUGUUGAGCCCUAAGAAACACUAGAAAAAAGAUCCGGAAAACUAUGUGCUUGUUAUCAGAUUUAAAAUAUUUUUAAAUAUUUGUACUAUGUUUUAAUAUCUGGGUUAGAGAAAUAUCACAUGGUAAACGCUUAAUUAUGGAACUCUGAAAAAAAAAAGACACAUCCAUUAGCUAAUAAGAGGCCAGGUGGUUCUCUUUAGUAGGGCCUGAAGAGGUGUCUCCACUGCCCCUGGGGCACCUCGGAUGUUAAGACACUGGGCACAGCCAUGCCUGUUACCCCGAUGGCAGAGUGACUCGAUAGGUCGGGCUUGCCAGCUGCUGUCCCUUCCUCCAUGCUGUUCCCUAGAUGUCACUUCACUGUACAGGAGCUAGAGAACCAGUUGUUGGCCAAAGAUAAAGAGAACUAAGUGCUAAGUGGGAGGAUGUGUGCAUACAAUCUUUUUCUGCCUCUCAGCCCAAACAUCAAAUCCUCACACUGAUCCUUAAUCACAAAAGUUAAACAGACUUAGCCAACUCAAUUUUCAGUGAUAAUGAGCAUCGAAAAUCACAUGGAUUAAUAAGUCACAAAUCAUCCCCUUCAGAAUAAUUUUAUUUCUAACUUCUUAACCCUCCUUAUAUAGGCACUGUAAACAAGCAACAACUGGGAUUGAUCUGAGACUGACUACACUCUUUUUUCUCCUGUCUUCGGCAGAGCUACAGAUGAGCGCUCUAAUGGCCACAAACUACAGAACCAGUGCCUAAAGAGAGAGACCACAGGAACUGUAAGGGGUAGUGACCCGUUAGCCUUGAUUGCCAUUAGCGAUGUGCCAGCUCUCAGCCAAAGGUAUAGACUGAAGAAGAGAGGCAAAAGAAAAUUUUAAAAACACAGUCCUUCAUCUCAGCCACGCUAAUGAACCUCCAACAUUCCUGUCUUGCCCUCUUGGUUCCUCCUCCCUUCUCCAUCUUCUGAAGGUUUGGGUGAUUUGUAGGCAUUCAGCCAACAAUUGAGUGACUGAGUAUGCUAACACAUCUUCGGGGACUAACACAUUAGAUGCCGUAAACACAGCCAGUAGGUAUAGAGUUCUAUGGAGCAAUAGGUCUGAAGGAAGAAAAAGAGGGGGAAAGGUAACAGAGAGACAGGAAGUGGAAAGACUUACCCAUGCACCCACUAUCCAUGCCAAGGGUCUGUUCAAAAGAGCACAGAAGGCUGGGUGUGGUUGCUCAUGCCGGUAAUCCCAACACGUUGGGAGGCCAAGGCGGGAGGAUCACUUGAGCCCAGGAGUUCCACACUUAGCCUGGGUAAUAUGGCAAGGCGCUAUCUUUAAAAAAAGUAAAUAAAUUAGGCCGGGUGCGGUGGCUCACGCCUGUAAUCUCAGCACUUUGGGAGGCCAAGGUGGGGGGGGGGCAUGGAACACAAGGCCAGGAGUUGAAGACCAGCCUGGCCAAUAUGGUGAAACCCCGUUUCUACUAAAAAUACAAAAAUUAGCCAGGCGUGGUGAUGUGUGCCUGUAAUCUCAGCCACUUGGGAGGCUGAGACAGGAGAAUCGCUGAACCCAGGAGGCAGAGGUUGUGGUGAGCCAAAAUCGUGCCACUGCACUCCAGCCUGGGUGACCGAGUGAGACUCUUUCUCAAAAAAAAAAAAAAAAGUAAAUAAAUUAGCUGGGUGUAGUGGUGUGUGCCUGUAGUCCCAGCUACAGGAGGCUGAUGCAGGAGGAUCAACUGAGCCUGGGAGGUCCAGGCUGCAAUGAGCUGUGAUCACGACACUGCACUCUAGCCUGGGAUGACAGAGCAAGACCCUGUCUCAAUCCAUCAAUCAAUAAAAGAGGACAGAAGAAGAAAAUUUGAAGGGAUAAUUCCGUUAAAAAUUAUACGGGUGCUUGACUUAACAGAUGGCCAUCUUAUACUCACAUAGCCACCUGAAAUAUAAAUGAAUGAAAAGGCUAAUGCAAAAAUGUCUAAAUUAGUAAACUGUCCAAGAGGUCUGAUAAAAAUGAAUUAAUAAUCUCUAAGUUGAAAAAUGAAUAUUCAUAUAUAUAGCUAUAAGUCUGUUUAGUGAGUGAUUGAAAAUACGUAGCCACAGGGCUUUGAGCAAUCAGGCUGGAAUCCCAGUUCUAUACCCACCGACCGUCAGGCCUUGGGCAAGUUACUUAACCUCUAGAGCAUGUUUCCAAAUCUUUAAAAUGGGAUAAUAACUGUACCUGCCUCCUAAAAUCUUUGUGAAGAUUAAAUAAAAUACUUAGAAUGGUGUUUGACAUAUACCAAGUGUUCUAUAAAUAUUAUCACUCUAUAUAAAGUUACAUAUUUAAUGCCAAAGCAAAAAUCCUAAGGAAAACACAUGCUGGAAAAGUCUCAAACUUAUUUUUUGAGGCAUUUUAUACCUUAUAGCCUACAUCAUAUUGCCUAAUGUUUGGGUUUAUUAUAAACAACUUUUUAUUUCACUCAGCUUAAUCUCUAAAUUUUAAUCACUCAAUAACUUUUAAGUAAAACCAGUUUAAUUAUAAAAAUUAAGAAUUUAAGCGCUAGGAGUUUAAAUAAAACUAAAUCUGCUUCACUCACACAACUAUUUAUGGUUCACUUCUAGGGACAGCUAUCAGAAAUCAUGCUAGUUAUUUCUGCUUUUUUUAUUCCUGUAUUAUGAUGGAUGAGGGUGAGGCGUCUAGAAAACUGUCAUAUGAGGAAGCGGCAACGUCUUACAAUUUUCCUUAUAUCUUUUCUCUUUUCCUUACCAAAAAAAAAAAAGACAUAUUGCAUUAGUAUAAAUUUGAGGAAAGUCUGUAAAUUUAAUUAACAUCAAAUCUGGUUUAGUGGAAAUCAUUCUAAUAAGAAAUGAGGUCAUGUCUCUUGCAAUGAAUCAUGUCAUUAAAUUUAUCUUCUUUCUGAAGUCUUUCCUUCAUUUGUUUGUCAUUUCCAAGUCCUUAAUUGUUGUUGAUUACUCAAAUAAAAUCAGGUUUUUUAGUUUUGAAAAGAUAUGAAACUGAUGCUAAAAAAAUCUCUAUCUCUACACGUCUGCUUUUAACUUUACAAUAUUUUUUCUACCCAGUUUUUUUAAAGCAAAUACCAAGUUUAUUUUAUUCAAAAUCUUCAUUUAUCAUGUGUAUCUCUUAUUUCACGGGUGUCUUCACAUAUUCCUCUAUUGUUUUAAUUUUCUUUUUCUUUUUUUUUUUUUUUUAAAGAGACAGGGGUUUAACUAUGUUGCCCAGGCUGGACUCAAACUCCAGGGCUCAAGUGAACCUCCCAAGUAGUUGGGACUACAGCAUUGCGCCCAGCCUAAUUUUCAUUUACUCCACAAUUACACUCUACGAGAUUACAACCUCACUUAAAUAACACCCACGUAUUUUCAAAGAUAAUCUUGGGAGAAUUAUCAUCUUCUCAAGGGCUCUUUCAAAGGUCUCAUCUACUCCAAGGCCUUGAGAUACGAUUCAAUCCAUAGGACACAUCAAGAUUUCAACUCUAGUCAGAAUCAGUAUUUUAACAAUGGAAGCAAACUGGGAAAGCUAAGCAGUCUCGCGUCUUUACACACAUGGAAACUAUGACCAUAUAUAUUAUACUUUUCCUUAACAUUUUACAAAGGACAUUCAGAUGACUUAUCACAGGUCCUAAUUAAAAGAAUCCUGAAGACAAAGCCAAGUCAUUUUCAUAACACUUGACCCUUUUCAACUACCUUAAUAUUUUUCAUCUUAAAGGAAAGCUUUAUGUCAAAUCCAAGUAUUUUAUCUCCUUGUUAAAGCUGAGCUUGUAUUUUAAAUCAGCACCUUUAUGCCAGUCUCAGAAUCUCAAAACAGUUACAUUUUCCCCUACGGUGUUCCCACCACUGAAAGGCCCCCAGGCGGGGCUGUCCAGGACCCUCGCUCCGCACCCAUUUUGAUCCCAGGAAGGGCGGUCGGGCAGGGACGGAGACGGCCGCGACCAGACAAUGUCCUGCAUUCACCGCGGCCUCGGCCAAUCACAGGCCGGCGCCUCCCGGCCCCGUGCGGCGCCACCGGCCACUGCUCCGGCCGGAGGAAAACCUGGCUCUAGUCGGCCAUCUGCGGCUAAUCCAGUCAGAGCGCGCGGCGCUCCCACGGCGCCCGGCCCGGGGAAGGGGUCUGGGCAGCAGGCGCCGCGGCGUACCCCGGGGGCAGGGUCGCGAACUGAGGGCAGGACGCGCCGCCCCCUCCGCCCGAACGCGGCGCUGUCCCUUUAAGAUGAUCCUCCUCCCGGGGCCAAGCAGCGCGUUGGCGGCCCCGCCGCAGGGGGCAGCGACAUCCGGGCUACCGGACU
rnacentral:lncRNA from 10 species